AACACUUCAAAUCAACUAUAGCUUUCCCAGCAGCCUUUUCCUGGAAAGGAUAUUUUCUUCUACAAAAGAAAUUUCUACAGAAAAAUUCUGAUAUGGUCAACUAAGUAGAGCAUCUGGUGUAUGCAGCUGGUCUAAGGUGGUUUUGCUGGGUGGGGAUUUGCAGAACCGAGCCCUCAGUUUGCAAACAUAAAUGAUGACUUCGGGUCAGCAACGGCUGAGGAUUUCACCUGGCGGGCAGUGAACUUCAGUUCAUAAAAAGAAAUUUCAAAGGUGAGCUUCGUGACGCUUUGAACAAGGAGGAAAACACUGGAGUUCUCCAUCAAGGCCUUGAGCCAAGCCAGAUUCCAUCUGUGUGCUCUGCUCUACUGGAGUGGUUGUGUCCAUGUGC
rnacentral:lncRNA from 1 species